UCAACGUGGUGAGCUUUAAACCGAAAAUUCCUUCCUUCUUUGUUGCCCUACUCAAAACCUCUGAAAAACACGUCACCCGUUGCCGGCUCCGGUUACUUAUAAUUCAACGUAUCUUACACUUGCUUACUGCUGAUACAAUGAAUGGGUUGCCAACACAAAAUACAUCUGCAAUAGCUUUGCCUCGCUUGCAGCUAAACCGGGAAUCAGAGACGGCAACAUCUAGUUCAGAAUCAAAGCCAAAGAAGAAAAUUUUCUGAGCUUGCCCCGAGACAAAGAAGCUCAGAGAUGAAUGCAUUGUGGAGCAUGGCGAAGAAGCUUGUGCAAAAUGGAUAGAGGCUCAUCGUAUAUGCCUUCGUGCAGAGGGAUUCAAUGUUUGAGAUUGGUACUUGAGGUUUAUAGAAUGAAAACAAUUCGAGGUACAAACUUUUUAAUUAUAGGAUUACAGAGAUGAUUUGAUAAAAAGAUUCUAGGAAUAAAAAGAGAAGAGAUUUUCUUUGCAGUUGGAGUUGGAUUUGGAUGCAUCCCAAGUCCCAACUGUUCAUUUUUCUUGUACUUCUCUGUUUAUGAGGUUAUUUACCUCUAUCAAGUGAAUUAAAACAUCUGGAAUACUUCCAU